GGACGGGUGAGUAAUGUCUGGGGAUCUGCCCUAGUGAGGGGAAUAACCACUGGAAACGGUGGCUAAUGCCGCAUAACGUCGCAAGACCAAAGUGGGGGACCUUCGGGCCUCACACCAUCGGAUGUGCCCAGAUGGGAUUAGCUAGUAGGUGGGGUAAUGGCUCACCUAGGCGACGAUCCCUAGCUGGUCUGAGAGGAUGACCAGCCACACUGGAACUGAGACACGGUCCAGACUCCUACGGGAGGCAGGCA
rnacentral:rRNA from 1 species